rnacentral:rRNA from 1 species
GAUGAACGCUGGCGGCGUGCGUAACACAUGCAAGUUGGACGACGGUGCUAUGAAGUGGUAACACGGAGUGGCAUACGGAGUAGCGGACGGGUGAGUAAAGCAUGAGAAGCUGUCCUACGGAGGGGGAUAACGUUCGGAAACGGACCCUAAUACCCCAUAGUCCGAGAGGUUAAAGGCAGAGAUGUGCCGUAGGAGGUGCUCGUGUCCUAUCGGCUAGUUGGUGAGGUAAGGGCUCACCAAGGCUUCGACGGGUAGCCGGCCUGAGAGGGUGACCGGCCACACUGGAACUGAGAUACGGUCCAGACUCCUACGGGAUGCAGCAGUGGGGAAUAUUGGGCAAUGGGAGGAAUCCUGACCCAGCGACGCCGCGUGAACGAAAGACGGCCCUUCGGG